UUAAAAUCUUAUAUGCCAAAGUAUGACCAAAAUGGUGUACAGGAACAAUGCAUCCAGAGCCAGUGAGGAGAGGGGGACAGCGGAAAAUAUAGCAAGCAGUGAAACAAGCAGUGUUUCGAUGGCCCAACUUCAAUGUUGGAUGAAAAACGCUCGGAUGGAAAAAAAAUGCUGGAGAUGAAGGUAAACUGGCAAAAUGACAAAAAUGAUGAACUGACUCAUGAACGAGACUUUCUGAAGGAGCAGUUGGCAUCAGAUUUGUUUUCACAGUUCUUUAAAAGAACACCCGCUCUAAAAAGGAUUCGGAGACGCAGUAAGUCUUUCCUCCGACACAGCGUUCGAAUGUUCGUCUGAGUCAUCUGAGUAUUGUUCAUCACCACUGUCAUCAGGUGAUGACAAGAAGAAGAGGAAGACCAAAAACAGGAUGAAGGGGAA